GGAGAGCUUGCUCUCGCUGACGACCGGCGCACGGGUGCGUAACGCGUAUAGAAUCUGCCUUACACUGAGGGAUAGCCUUUGGAAACGAAGAUUAAUACCUCAUGGUAUCAUUUACUGGCAUCAGUUAAUGAUUAAAGGUUACGGUGUAAGAUGACUAUGCGUCCUAUUAGCUAGUAGGUAAGGUAACGGCUUACCUAGGCAACGAUAGGUAGGGGCCCUGAGAGGGGGAUCCCCCACACUGGUACUGAGACACGGACCAGACUCCUACGGGAGGCAGCAGUGAGGAAUAUUGGACAAUGGAGGCAACUCUGAUCCAGCCAUGCCGCGUGAAGGAUGACUGCCCUAUGGGUUGUAAACUUCUUUUAUACAGGAAGAAACCGUUCCACGUGUGGAGCUUUGACGGUACUGUAUGAAUAAGCACCGGCUAACUCCGUGCCAGCAGCCGCGGUAAUACGGAGGGUGCAAGCGUUAUCCGGAAUCAUUGGGUUUAAAGGGUCCGU
rnacentral:rRNA from 1 species